UUUUGGUGCCUGAGCGACAUGCUUUUAACAGUUCAUGCCGGAGAACAGCGUCAAGUGGAUUUGAAGGUUUUUCAUCAGAGAGCGGCAGUAUCGGUCUUUACUGAAGGCAUAUCUAUACUAUGCUCAAUCGUGAUACCAGACGCUGCCAUAUUGGUCUUUUAGUGGCAGGCCUCGUGUGUUUCCGUGUUCGAUUGGCAUCAGACAACAACAUCUGUCAUCGGAUGUCUUCUCACCAGGGUUACCGAAUGUUGCUGGGGACACAUGCAGACACGCUUCUCCUCUCACUCGGGUGAACACGGCAUUCUAACAUGGGUGUCACACGCAAAACACAGAAAAGCGAAGAGGUGUACACAAACGUGAGCGCACCUUUCACAGAGCAGUGCCGGGGUGCCCGAGGGCUGUUGCCUCUCUGAUGUUAGCAUUGUCUAAUGCGUUGUCCCAGCGCAUGUAGGGGGAUUGUUGCACACUUAGGCCUGUGCCAUCGCUCUGCAUUAUUUAGUGGCACAGGCAGCUGGCUGUCAUGCAGGGCAAACUCAAAGGCAGAGAGGAGCAAGCAGGGAAGCGAUCGAAAGGAGACAGGACAAUGUUUUAUCAGUUUUCUCCUGACCAAUAUUUAUUUCCUAUUUUUCCUUUCAUGUGAUCUAUGCUCCCUUUAUUUCAAACCCCCUUAUGGGUCACCAGCUGUCAGACAACCGUUGAAGGGUGCCGCCUCCCCUCUUAUCCUUCCUCUUUUUGGUUUACGUGGCCGAUUGGGACCCACAUCCCAGGAAAUGUAUGCAGAUGCAUUCAGAGAAACGGGGACGCAGGCAUCGCUGCAGAGGAUUAAGUCAAUGCCAUGGCCCAUGCAGCGCCUGUGGAAGCCUGUCCACCCUGCGCCCUGGCUGUCAGCAUUGCCGGCAGGCUGCGUUGACAAGGGGAGGCCACUAGGACUGUCUGUCACGGGGGUUAUUCUCAGGGCGGAGACGGUUCAGCUGAUUCGUGCAACGUGUGUGUACGGCUGCGCUGGAGAAUGAGCAUUUGGCAGGGAGCUAGCAGGGGUUAGCCUUGCCAGAUGACAGGUAAAAGCGGGGCGGAAAGAGAGAAACAUGGGGUUAGCACUGUCGACAUACCUAAACACACGUACACACACACACACACACACACACACGGCCAGAUGAAGGACAAUUAAUUAGGGCCUCAGCAGCACAUCUGGGAAUAAAUUAGUCAAACAGGCACUUCUUGUACUUCCGAACAACUUUGAAAUCUCAGCUCUUUUCAAUCCAUUCAACUAUGUUGACAUAUUACCUAUUCUGACCAAGUAAAGUACACACAGAAAGAAAAUAUCUUGAGAAAAGUAUACAUAGUUUAUCAGAAGAAUCCCAAACCGCGUGGAUACUAAAUAAAUAAAUAACAAUAAUAAAAUCCUGAUUAAAUGUGAUGCAAAAUAUAUUUGUCAUCUUUCCUCCAAAAUCUUUGUUAUAUUAUCGAGUAAAUGCUGGAAGCUGAAAAAAGGUGCUUUU